rnacentral:rRNA from 1 species
GUGAACGCUGGCGGUAGGCCUAACACAUGCAAGUCGAACGGCAGCACAGUAAGAGCUUGCUCUUACGGGUGGCGAGUGGCGGACGGGUGAGGAAUACAUCGGAAUCUACUCUUUCGUGGGGGAUAACGUAGGGAAACUUACGCUAAUACCGCAUACGACCUACGGGUGAAAGCAGGGGAUCUUCGGACCUUGCGCGAUUGAAUGAGCCGAUGUCGGAUUAGCUAGUUGGCGGGGUAAAGGCCCUCCAAGGCGACGAUCCGUAGCUGGUCUGAGAGGAUGAUCAGCCACACUGGAACUGAGACACGGUCCAGACUCCUACGGGAGGCAGCAGUGGGGAAUAUUGGACAAUGGGCGCAAGCCUGAUCCAGCCAUACCGCGUGGGUGAAGAAGGCCUUCGGGUUGUAAAGCCCUUUUGUUGGGAAAGAAAAGCAGCAGGUUAAUACCCCGCUGUUCUGACGGUACCCAAAGAAUAAGCACCGGCUAACUUCGUG